AAAGUUGUCGAUCAGGAAACCGGCGAAGAGAUCAAGGCUUCUCCACCAGUUCUGAAAUGACGAAAGCCCCGGCCUAUGUGCCGGGGCUUUUUUUGUGCCGUGACGGGUUAGUCCCGUUUGGCUUUA
rnacentral:tRNA from 1 species